rnacentral:misc_RNA from 1 species
GAUGAAGAACGUAGCGAAAUGCGAUAAGUAAUGUGAAUUGCAGAAUUCAGUGAAUCAUCGAAUCUUUGAACGCACAUUGCGCCCGCCAGUAUUCUGGCGGGCAUGCCUGUCCGAGCGUCAUUUCAACCCUCGCGCCCAUCUGGGCUGCGGUGUUGGGGACCGGCCUGCCCCCCCGGGGCGCGCCGCCCCCCAAAUUCAGUGGCGGUCUCGCUGCAGCCUCCCUUGCGUAGUAGCACACCUCGCACCGGAGCGCAGCGCGGCCACGCCGUAAAACCCCCGACCCCCAUGAGUUUGACCUCGGAUCAGGUAGGAAUACCCGCUGAACUUAAGCAUAUCAAUAGCGGAGGA